rnacentral:lncRNA from 1 species
UUUUUAAUAUUUGUAAGGCUAUCAAGUAUAAAAAUACCUACUUGUGUCCAUCCCUAGUUGUACAACUAGAGACCUGAUACUUUAUCCCAGUUAUGAAAAGUAUGUCAGACAAAAAACAUAGACAAUUUGCUUAUAAUAAUUUAAAAUUUGAUUUUACAUGUAAAAGUAUACAUCAAAUUUAAUCAAAUAUUGAAAAAAAAAACAAAAAGGUAAUGAAAUUAUAACAAUUAUUUAUGAACAAACAAAACACAUAUAAUC